GAUGAACGCUGGCGGCGUGCCUAAUACAUGCAAGUCGAGCGAACAGACGAGGAUCUUGUGCCGUGCACGUGUGCGGCGCACGUGAGAAUAACGCGUGUAAAACGUACCUGUAUUAGUGGGAUAAUUUCGGGAAACGGGAUCAAAUAGGGUAUAAUAUAUUGCACCGCGGGGUUCAAUAGUAAAAGACGGUUUUGGGGGCUCGUAUAGAGGGAUCCGCGCCGCAUGAGGUGGUUGGUCAGUUAACGGCUUACCAAGGGAACGAUGCGUAGCCGACGUGAGAGGGUGAUAGCCCACCCUGGAACUGAGCCGCCGUCCAGACUCCUACGGGAGGCAGCAGUCGGGAAUCUUCCGCAAUGGGCGAAAGCCUGACGGAGCAACGCGGCGUGAGUGAUGGAGGUCUUGGGAUCGUAAUACUCUGUUAUUAGGGAAGAACAACUGUGUACGUAACUAUGCACGUCUUGACGGUACCUGAUCAGAAAGCCACGGCUAACUACGUG
rnacentral:rRNA from 1 species